rnacentral:rRNA from 1 species
GGAAUGAUGGGAAUUUAAACCUCUUCCAGAGUAUCAAUUGGAGGGCAAGUCUGGUGCCAGCAGCCGCGGUAAUUCCAGCUCCAAUAGCGUAUAUUAAAAUUGUUGCAGUUAAAAAGCUCGUAGUUGAAUUUCUGCUGCAUUGCUUGUGUCCCUCUGGGGUCUGUGCAUGUGGCUUUUUUCGGACGGAGUUUCUUUGUCUGAAUGUUUACUUUGAGAAAAUUAGAGUGCUCAAAGCAGGCUUUCGCCUUGAAUAGUUUAGCAUGGAAUAAUAAAGUAGGACUUUGGUUCUAUUUUGUUGGUUUUAGGUACCAAAGUAAUGGUUAAUAGGAACAGUUGGGGGCAUUCGUAUUUAACUGUCAGAGGUGAAAUUCUUAGAUUUGUUAAAGACGAACUACUGCGAAAGCAUUUGCCAAGGAUGUUUUCAUUAAUCAAGAACGAAAGUUAGGGGAUCGAAGACGAUCAGAUACCGUCGUAGUCCUAAC